rnacentral:misc_RNA from 1 species
AACGGUCUAUACCUGCGGUACCUGCGGAAGGAUCAUUAAAAGAGAACUUUUCUAUUUAACUAUAGAAAAUUCCCAACCCUUGUCUAUUCAAACACAAAUUGUUGCUUCGGCGAAUUACAAGCAGUAAUUCUUCUUGACUUAGUUGCCAACCUGAAUUAUUGUUCGCCAGAAGAUAUAAACAAAAAACUCUUUAAUUAAUAACUAUGUCUGAAUUAAAUUUUUAAUUAUUUUAAUAAUUAU